rnacentral:tRNA from 1 species
GUUUUUAUAGUUUAAAUUUAAAACAUUGGUCUUGUAAAUCAAAAUUAAGAAUUUUCUUUAAAAACU